CGAGUGAAGCGGCAACAGCUCAAAUUUGAAAUCUGGCCUUCUGGUCCGAAUUGUAAUUUGUAGAGGAUGCUUUUGGUUAGGUACCUUUCGAGUUCCUUGGAACAGGACGCCUUAGAGGGUGAGAGCCCCGUACGAUUGGAUACCGAGCCUCUGUAAAGCUCCUUCGACGAGUCGAGUAGUUUGGGAAUGCUGCUCUAAAUGGGAGGUAAAUUUCUUCUAAAGCUAAAUACCGGCCAGAGACCGAUAGCGCACAAGUAGAGUGAUCGAAAGAUGAAAAGCACUUUGAAAAGAGGGUUAAAUAGUACGUGAAAUUGUUGAAAGGGAAGGGCUUAUGACCAGACCUUUGCCUUGCGGAUCAUCCGGUGUUCUCACCGGUGCACUCCGCUUGGUUGAGGCCAGCAUCAGUUUUGGCGGCCGGAUAAAGACUUCAGGAAUGUGACUCCUCCGGGAGUGUUAUAGCCUGCUGUGUAAUACGGCCGCUGGGACUGAGGACCGCGCUUCGGCUAGGAUGCUGGCAUAAUGGUCAUCAGCCACCCGUCUUGAAACACGGACCAAGGAGUCGAACAUUUAUGCGAGUUUUUGGGUGUUAAACCCUCAAGCGUAAUGAAAGUGAACGGAGGUGAGAGCCCUUACGGGUGCAUCAUCGACCGAUCCUGAUGUCUUCGGAUGGAUUUGAGUAAGAGCAUAACUGUUCGGACCCGAAAGAUGGUGAACUAUGCGUGGAUAGGGUGAAGCCAGAGGAAACUCUGGUGGAGGCUCGCAGCGGUUCUGACGUGCAAAUCGAUCGUCAAAUCUGCGCAU
rnacentral:rRNA from 1 species